rnacentral:misc_RNA from 1 species
AAGUCGUAACAAGGUUUCCGUAGGUGAACCUGCGGAAGGAUCAUUAUAGUAAGCUUAAUUGCAUACACUUUUUUAAUUGAACACACCGAUAACAUUUUUAAAAUUAUCACUAAAGUAAUAUCAAAACUUUCAACAACGGAUCUCUUGGUUCUC